GUUAUACAACGAUAUUUGCUCAAGGUUAGGUUUCUGACUUCUGAUUAGUGGUGGUUAGCAUGCAUGCUGUGAUAUCUAAUAAUUACAAUGUUUCUCUUUUUGAUAUUUGAUUUAUUUGUGUCAAGCAAACUUCUCUUCAUGAUUGAUCUUAUUGGUGGAUUAAUAUAUCUUAAGCCAUGCAUUUUCAUUGCCAUUGCACGAUCAUGUAUCCCUAUAUUUGGUAUCUGUUAGGAUUUCGAGUUCUAUUGC
rnacentral:misc_RNA from 1 species